AGUUGAAUUUACAAAAGAUUUCAUUCACUUCAAGAAGAACUCUAUAGCAACUAUUUUCUCUUCCCCUUUCUCUUUUUUUUCUUUCUUUUUUUUUCUUUUUCGGAAGGAGUAUGUAUUGACAUGUAUUGAAAUCCUUCUAUUUUUUUUUGUUUUCUAUUUUUCUUUUAUUUUUCUUCCAACUUCUGAAAUAUUACAAACAUAAUUAUCCAACCCCACACAACUCCAAAC
rnacentral:lncRNA from 1 species